AAGACAGCUAGGAUGUUGGCUUGGAAGCAGCCAUUCAUUUAAAGAGUGCGUAACAGCUCACUAGUCGAGGAGUCGGGCGUGGAUAAUAAUCGGGUAUCAAGUUGUCUACCGAAGCAGUGGGAUCAUUUAUAUGAUCGGUAGGGGAGCAUUCCAGUCAGCGUCGAAGGCGUACCGUGAGGUAUUCUGGAGCGUCUGGAAAAGCAAAUGUAGGUAUAAGUAACGAUAAAGGGGGCGGGAAACCCCCUCGCCGAAAGACUAAGGUUUCCUGAUCAACGCUAAUCGGAUCAGGGUCAGUCGGGUCCUAAGGCUCAGCCGAACGGCGAUGCCGAUGGCAGAAACGGUUAAUAUUCCGUUACUACCUUCAGGAGUGACGUGGAGACGCAGUAGUGACAGUGCCGCCAUCUGACGGAAUAGAUGGUUGAAGGGUGUAGGAGUCGAUCAUGGCAGGCAAAUCCACCAUGAGAUCCGAACCUGACAGUAUGCCGCGUCCUUCGGGACAAGGCAAUAGUGCGCGUAAGCAUGCUGCCGAGAAAAUCCGCUAAACUUAAUCCUGCAGGUACCCGUACCGCAAACGGACACACGUAGUCGGGAUGAAUAUUCUAAGGCGCUUGAGUGAUUCACGGUUAAGGAACUAGGCAAACUGACCCUGUAACUUCGGGAUAAAGGGUCCCUACCCUUUUAUGGGAGGGCGCAGAGAAUCGGUCCAGGCAACUGUUUAACAAAAACACAGGGCUGUGCCAAAUCGAAAGAUCCAGUAUACAGCCUGACACCUGCCCGGUGCUGGAAGGUUAAGAGGAGAUGUCAUCGAUAAGAGAAGCGUUGAAUUGAAGCCCCAGUAAACGGCGGCCGUAACUAUAACGGUCCUAAGGUAGCGAAAUUCCUUGUCGGGUAAGUUCCGACCUGCACGAAUGGUGUAAUGAUCUGGACGCUGUCUCAACCGUGAGCUCAGUGAAAUUGUAGUAUCGGUGAAGAUGCCGAUUACCCGCGAUGGGACGAAAAGACCCCGUGAACCUUUACUAUAGCUUAUCAUUGAAUCUGGGCACGUGAUGUGUAGGAUAGGUCGGAGGCUUUGAAGCAGGUACGCCAGUAUUUGUGGAGCCGCUGUUGAAAUACGACCCUUUAUUUGUUUGGAUUCUAACCCGUGGUACGGGGACAUUGAUUGGUGGGUAGUUUGACUGGGGUGGUCGCCUCCAAAAGCGUAACGGAGGCUUCUAAAGGUGCCCUCCGGCCGAUUGGUAACCGGCCUUAGAGUGUAAUGGCAUAAGGGCGCUUGACUGGGAGACUAACAAGUCGAUCAGGUAGGAAACUAGAGCAUAGUGAUCCGGUGUUUCCGUAUGGAA
rnacentral:rRNA from 1 species